CAGCCGCCACGGGAAUACGAAGGGGGCUAGCGUUGCUCGGAAUUACUGGGCGUAAAGGGCGCGUAGGCGGCGCUCCAAGUUAGGCGUGAAAUUCCCGGGCUCAACCUGGGGACUGCGCUUAAGACUGGAGUGCUUGAGGAUGGAAGAGGGUUGUGGAAUUCCCAGUGUAGAGGUGAAAUUCGUAGAUAUUGGGAAGAACGCCGGUGGCGAAGGCGGCAACCUGGUCCAUUACUGACGCUGAGGCGCGAUAGCGUGGGGAGCAAACAGGAUUAGAUACCCCAGUAGUCCCUGUCUCUUAUAC
rnacentral:rRNA from 1 species